CCUGUUUAAAUAUGUAGUAGGACUGUAGGACAGAUUAUAUAUCACCUAUAGAGAGAGAGAGAGAGAGAGAGAGAGAGAGAGAGAUUGAUGACAGAUAGAGAGGGGGAGAGAGCAAGGGUUUGACAGAGCAGAGUUCCUUCUUGGUUCUUUUAGGCAAGAAGUUUCUCCGUACUUUCAUCAUCCCCAACUUUAUAUACAGACUGGCGUAUCGUUUCGAGUUCCGAUUUGCUCUGAGGUUUAGGUUUUGGGGAAGUUUCCAUUUUGUUUUUGUGGGGUUGAAGAAAUCAGAUGGCUGAUGAAGUUGGAUUUCGGUUUCGGGAUCUAAGGUGGGCAGCAAUUGUUGUGACUGGUGUUCUUGUUCUAGCUUCAAUAGCUGCUUCAGCACAAGAAACUCUGCAGCAAGAUGAUUCCGCGACGCAACAUUACUUGAACAGAAUGUUAAACUUUCUGUGGCAAAGGGGUCGAUUGGGGUAUGAGCACGUUUGGCCUGAAAUGAAAUUCGACUGGAGAAUUGUGGUAGGCACUAUAAUUGGAUUCAUUGGGGCUGCAUUUGGGACCGUCGGAGGUGUUGGUGGGGGAGGCAUUUUCGUUCCAAUGCUCACUUUGAUCAUCGGAUUUGAUGAGAAAUCAUCAACGGCAAUAUCCAACUGUAUGAUCACAGGCGGAGCAGCUGCAACUGUUUUCUACAAUUUGAGGCUAAGGCAUCCUACACUUGACCUUCCAAUCAUCGACUAUGACCUGGCACUUCUUGUCCAGCCAAUGCUGAUGCUUGGGAUCAGUAUUGGAGUAUCUUUCAAUGUGAUAUUUGCUAACUGGAUGAUCACAGUGUUGCUAAUGAUCUUUUUCAUAGGCACAUCAACUAAGGCAUUCUUGAAGGGAGUCGAAACAUGGAAAAAAGAAACUAUAUUAAUAAAGGAGGUUGCCAGACUAAUGCAGUCAAAUGGUAGUUCUAGUGACGAUGAAGUUGAAUACAGACCUCUAGCUAGUGGCCUAAGCAGUGUAUUAGCCACCAAGGAGUCCAAAAGAAUAGAGGUUUCUAUUAUGGAGAAUGUUUACUGGAAGGAAUUACUACUUCUUGUUGCUGUCUGGGUCAUAAUACUUGCAUUGCAGAUCGCGAAGAAUUAUACGACAACUUGUUCAGCAGAAUAUUGGGUAUUAAAUCUCUUGCAGAUCCCCGUGGCUUUGGGAGUAUCUACGUACGAGGCAGUUAACCUGUACAAGGGCCAUAGAGUGAUUGAAUCCAUGGAAGAAUCAGGCACAGAUUGGAAGGUCCGUCAGCUUUUUCUUUAUUGUGGCGGUGGAAUCACAGCUGGUAUAGUUGGUGGAUUGCUUGGUCUUGGUGGUGGUUUCAUUUUAGGCCCUCUUUUUCUUGAGCUGGGACUCCCACCUCAGGUGUCAAGUGCCACUGCCACAUUUGCCAUGACAUUUUCUGCAUCAAUGUCCGUUGUCGAGUACUAUCUCCUCAAACGUUUUCCAGUUCCCUAUGCUCUGUACUUUGCUCUCGUGGCCAGCUUGUCUGCCCUGGUAGGGCAACAUGUGGUGAGAAAGGUGAUCAGUGUAUUAGGGAGAGCAUCCAUAAUUGUCUUCAUUCUAGCCUCCACAAUCUUUGUGAGUGCAAUAUCACUAGGUGGGGUUGGGAUAGCGAGUAUGGUUGAAAAGAUUGAGAACAAAGAGUACAUGGGAUUUGAAAACAUAUGCACUUAUGAUGCCUAGUUUCAGUAACUUGUUCUGCCAUGAGUUCCCGUGUCACCGAUCUCAAACAUUCCAUCAACAAAUGUAUAACUUUUUUGUUGGAUUUUUCUUGAUGUUGGGUGCUGCUUGCAACUUUUUUGGACCUACUAAUUAAGCUGGUCCUAUUAGUACAAGUGAACCGCACAGAAAGUGAAACUAAUCAAUUCAAGGGCGUGCCAGCUUAUUUGCUGAGCUUGGCCAGGAAGUGAAUGAAUGUUGAUAUGGUGUUGGGCGCGCAUACGACUUUUGAAUCUUGUGAUUGCGGUCGAGGAAGGAACACGCCUGAAGACAAGGUUGCUAGUUUUUGCAAAGUUCAAUAUCAAAUUCGGCUUUUAGUAUGCCUAAUGUCGUAACUUGGUAACACCUCACUUCAACAAGAAGGCUAAUGAGAUAUAACCUCUUCCAACAAGGAUCUGGAGAUUCCUUGCUGACUGAGGCUUGGAUAGAUAACCAGUCGGUCUCGAAGCAGUGCUGUUUAUCUAAACUAAAGGUGCUCUUCGGUUGACUAAUUCUACGACUCUAGUGUUAUUUAUCCAAAUUGAAGAUGUUGUCGGUUGCCAACACAGUGCUGUUUGUCUAAACUGAAGGUAUGUUGGCGGAAAAAAGGUAAAAUAAAAAUCUCAAGGUGUUUGAGAGGA